rnacentral:rRNA from 1 species
GAUCCUGGCUCAGACGAACGCUGGCGGCGUGCCUAAUACAUGCAAGUCGAGCGAGCUGAAUUCAAAGAUUCCUUCGGGRUGAUUUGUUGGACGCUAGCGGCGGAUGGGUGAGUAACACGUGGGCAAUCUGCCCUAAAGACUGGGAUACCACUUGGAAACAGGUGCUAAUACCGGAUAACAACAUGAAUCGCAUGAUUCAAGUUUGAAAGGCGGCGCAAGCUGUCACUUUAGGAUGAGCCCGCGGCGCAUUAGCUAGUUGGUGGGGUAAAGGCCUACCAAGGCAAUGAUGCGUAGC